UUAAAAAAAAGAUAAGCUAAAUUUAA
rnacentral:tRNA from 1 species